rnacentral:rRNA from 1 species
UACGUAGGGGGCUAGCGUUGCUCGGAAUCACUGGGCGUAAAGCGCUCGUAGGCGGUUUUCUAAGUCGGGGGUGAAAUCCUGGAGCUCAACUCCAGAACUGCCUUCGAUACUGGAAAUCUCGAGUCCGGGAGAGGUGAGUGGAACUCCGAGUGUAGAGGUGAAAUUCGUAGAUAUUCGGAAGAACACCAGUGGCGAAGGCGGCUCACUGGCCCGGUACUGACGCUGAGGUGCGAAAGCGUGGGGAGCAAACAGG